GCAGUUCGUCACAAUGACAUCAAGUAUUUAUAAUCUCAUAUAUAUUUUAAGUUUAAUUAUAAUAUUUAUUAAUAUCGGAAACCGCAGUGAAAGAGAAGGACAACAUAUAACUGUUUACUGUGUGGCAUUUCCUUCUUUAAAUGUUGUUUUUCUCGACCGCUUAAAGUCCGAAUGAAUCGUUAUACCGGGUUAAUAAACGCUGUAAACGUAUCCGAACGUAUAAAGCGAUCGUCAGUCGUAUAUUUUGCUUUACGAUCGUAAGUAAGGCAUUUGAACUCUUGGUGUUGCGUCAUUGUCGAUCGUUUUAUUUUUUUCUUUUUUUCCUUAUUUGCUUUCACGAGUGCAGUCAUUUCGUGCGUGCACUUUUAGUUCCCAUCCAUUGGUCACGUGCCCAAACCAAAUAGCAGUGAUCAAACUGUCAGCUACAGCUAGCUCUGUUGUUAUUGUCUGUUUUACUGCCUGUCACAGGUUUCUCUACCUGGCUAAACGACAAUGUCCCCGAGUAUAACGUUGUACACUAUUUCACCUGGAUAAUUUCCCCCAAUAUUCUCUUUUCUCUUCCAAUUCGGUUCGUAAUUAUAUCCAUUUUUAUUAACCUUCCACACCGGCGUACGGUUGUAAAGCGGUACGUUUUAUGUGGAUUCGGUAAUCACUGCCAUAUUGUAUAUUGCCAGUUAAGUUUGCUACAAUGGAAGAUUGCUAUACGAUAUUGUGAUACUCGGUAAUGAGUUGUAAACUUUUUCCCAGUAACUUUGCGAUUUUUUGAUUGCCAAACAGAGAAAAAUUUUGUCUGGCGCGUACGCCGAAGGGAUAUAAACGGAUUUAGAAAUUCGUUUGGGGUUGGCACCGUUUUGUAUAUCAGCGUAUUGAGAUUAAGUAUACUGGUCUUUCGACGUCUCCAGAGGGGUUGGAAGCAUAACAAAACGCGUUAAAGAUAGACUAGAGUUUUGAUUACAUCAAAGUGUAAUGCGUAUAAAUGGACACUUCCAUCUAACGGCACGCGUUGGAUCUGUGACGUUCCCCCCAGUUUGGACUACUCAUAGACAAGUCCCUUGAUGUCUGUGACGCAAUGACUUCUGUAGGAUUUACCCUUUUGAAGCUAUACACAAUCUCAUCUUACUACAGAUGGUCAUGACAGCAAUACACGGAGGGGGUCACUCAUGUGCCGCAUCAGAAGAUAGUGAGGAGGACGAUUCCACUCGCUGAUGCUAGAGUCAAUCUGCGAUGAUACAUUGCUGGUGGUACGUACAUAUGAUGAAUGAAUCCCAACAGAGAGAUGGGCUACGGACGAAAGACGUCUUCUGUUUAUUAAAGGGAUUAUCUUACUCCGAGCCCGGUGCAUCGCAGCCCGUUGUUUCAUAUUUAAUACAGCGUCGGAAGCAGAAAGAGAACGAGAGAGAGAGAGAGAGAGAAAGAGGAAAACAGAACCAGGAGAAGAAGAAGAAGGAAAAAAAAAAAAAAAAAAAAAAAAUGAAGCAAACCGCAUCCCAUAGCUAUCAGUUUUACUUUCGCUGUUUU
rnacentral:lncRNA from 1 species